rnacentral:rRNA from 1 species
GUGGGGAAUUUUGGACAAUGGGCGCAAGCCUGAUCCAGCAAUGCCGCGUGCAGGAAGAAGGCCUUCGGGUUGUAAACUGCUUUUGUACGGAACGAAACGGCUCUGGUUAAUACCCGGGGCUAAUGACGGUACCGUAAGAAUAAGCACCGGCUAACUACGUGCCAGCAGCCGCGGUAAUACGUAGGGUGCAAGCGUUAAUCGGAAUUACUGGGCGUAAAGCGUGCGCAGGCGGUUUUGUAAGACAGGCGUGAAAUCCCCGGGCUCAACCUGGGAAUGGCGCUUGUGACUGCAAAGCUGGAGUGCGGCAGAGGGGGAUGGAAUUCCGCGUGUAGCAGUGAAAUGCGUAGAUAUGCGGAGGAACACCAAUGGCGAAGGCAAUCCCCUGGGCCUGUACUGACGCUCAUGCACGAAAGCGUGGGGAGCAAACAGGAUUAGAUACUAGUAGUCC